UACAGAGGGGGCAAGCGUUGUUCGGAAUUACUGGGCGUAAAGAGCGUGUAGGCGGCUUGGUAGGUCUGCUGUGAAAACUCGAGGCUCAACCUCGAGACGUCGGUUGAAACCGUAUGGCUAGAGUCCGGAAGAGGAGAGUGGAAUUCCCGGUGUAGCGGUGAAAUGCGCAGAUAUCGGGAAGAACACCCGUGGCGAAGGCGGCUCUCUGGGACGGUACUGACGCUGAGACGCGAAAGCGUGGGGAGCAAACAGG
rnacentral:rRNA from 1 species